CCGAAAAUAGCUCAGCGGUAGAGCGGGAGACUGUAGUGGUAAAGCCUUACAGCUUGCGUUGUAAUCUCUAGGUCCCUGGUUCAAAUCCGGGUUUUCGGA
rnacentral:tRNA from 4 species